AGAUUUUAAGCGCUUAAUCAGUUUUGAGCGGGGGAACCAUUUUUUGGGGUGAAUCUUGGUUUUUGCCAGGUAGGGUUAACUCUUUCGACCCGAACCCGUCAGCUAACCUCGUAGGCGUUGAUAGAGGAGUA
rnacentral:sRNA from 21 species